rnacentral:rRNA from 1 species
UUCGGUCAUUUAGAGGAAGUAAAAGUCGUAACAAGGUUUCCGAUAGGUGAACCUGCGGAAGGAUCAUUAAUAAACCUAGUCGUUCGCGUACAUAGGGGCAACCCUCGCGUGAUGUCAGCAAUACCUAGGUAACCCUUGAAUAAACUACCCUCGUUGCUUUGGCGGGCCGCCUUCUAGGCCAGCGGCUUCGGCUGCUGCGCGCCCGCCGGAGGACCACAACUCUUGUUUUUAGUGACGUCUGAGUACUAUAUAAUAGUUAAAACUUUCAACAACGGAUCUCUUGGUUCUGGCAUCGAUGAAGAACGCAGCGAAAUGCGAUAAGUAAUGUGAAUUGCAGAAUUCAGUGAAUCAUCGAAUCUUUGAACGCACAUUGCGCCCUUUGGUAUUCCGAAGGGCAUGCCUGUUCGAGCGUCAUUAUAACCACUCAAGCCCUCGCUUGGUAUUGGGGCUCGCGGUCUCGCGGCCUCUAAACUCAGUGGCGGUGCCUGUCGGCUCUACGCGUAGUAAUACUCCUCGCGUCUGGGUCCGGCAGGUUGCCUGCCAGCAACCCCCAAAUUUUUACAGGUUGACCUCGGAUCAGGUAGGGAUACCCGCUGAACUUAAGCAUAUCAAUAAGCGGAGGA